rnacentral:tRNA from 1 species
GGGGUUGUGGCUUAGUGAUAGAGUGCUUGCCUAGCAAGCAUGAGGCACCGGGUUUGAUCCCCAGCACCA